UUUAUCCGUUCAUAUAAAGGCCGAGUGUCUCACUUCUAGGACUAGCUUUCUCACUCUAGAUCAAGAUGAGGCCUUCUCUGUUACUCUAGAUCAAGAUGAAGCCUUGUCCCUUUUCUUUCUUGUUUGUCUUUCUGGGAUCGGCUAUUGCAAAAGCGUAGAGAGAUCUUCCCUUUUCUUUGUUGUUUCUCUUUCCGGAUCGGCCAUUCCACAGAGAGAAAGCGUAGAGAGAUCUGCAAGAGUUAGGUUUUUGCCUGGUUCCGAUGCCCGCCCCCAUUUGAACUCUAUACUGGAUAAGAGAGAGAAAAUGAGAUUUCUUCUCGAUGUGUAUGAGAGAGAAAAUGAGACUUCUUCUCAAUGUCACACACAGAGAGUGACGCUUCUUCUCAAUGUCUUUGCGAGAGAGUGUUAGAGAGAGAGAGAGAUUUGACAUGAGAAAAGUGUGGAAUGAUGCAGGUACUCUUGAUGAGGAAAUAGAGCAGCGGCAUUUUUUUUUACUUUGUCAAAUCGGAGGGGGAUCCGAAAUCGGAUCCUCUUCUCCUAUGGCUGAGCGGAGGUCCUGGUUGCAGUGGUUUGAGUAGCCUCCUCUUCCAAAUAGGUUUCAGAAGCAAGAACUAAACGCACUUGCAAAUUGGUGGAGUGGGAUGGACAUGUAUGCCUAGCUCAUGAGUUCGGAUGUCGCGAUUUGUGGAUGUGGAGGCUAAACAAACAGGAAUGGGACAAAAUCGUUGAAUUGGAUAUCGAUAGAAAGUUUGUUAUGGGAUUUGAAAUAAUUCCUCACCAUCGUUCUCUCUUCAUCGCUCGAAUUAUAAGGAAGAGCAUUGAGCUCUGUCGAUAUGAUAGCCAUGGAAACAGAGAGGAAAUUAACCGGAAAUUUUGCUGGGAAACCACAUUUAGUAGUUGUAUUUACCCUAAUAUUGUUCCUUUUACACCAGCACUUGGUCGUUGUAAUUACUUGGGUACUUAAAUCACAUAGGUUGGAUUUGCUGGUA